GACGAACGCUGGCGGCGUGCUUAACACAUGCAAGUCGAACGGAAAGGCCCUGCUUUUGUGGGGUGCUCGUGUGGCGAACGGGUGAGUAACACGUGAGUAACCUGUCCCUGACUUUGGGAUAACUCCAGGAAACUGGGGCUAACACCGGAUAGGAGCUCCUGCUGCAUGGUGGGGGUUGGAAAGUUUCGGCGGUUGGGGAUGGACUCGCGGCUUAUCAGCUUGUUGGUGGGGUAGUGGCUUACCAAGGCUUUGACGGGUAGCCGGCCUGAGAGGGUGACCGGCCACAUUGGGACUGAGAUACGGCCCAGACUCCUACGGGAGGCAGCAGUGGGGAAUAUUGCACAAUGGGCGGAAGCCUGAUGCAGCAACGCCGCGUGCGGGAUGACGGCCUUCGGGUUGUAAACCGCUUUCGCCUGUGACGAAGCGUGAGUGACGGUAAUGGGUAAAGAAGCACCGGCUAACUACGUG
rnacentral:rRNA from 1 species